UACGAAGGGUGCAAACGUUGCUCGGAAUUAUUGGGCGUAAAGCGCACGUAGGCGGCUUUGCAAGUCCCAUGUGAAAUCCCACGGCUCAACCGUGGAAGUGCAUGGGAAACUGCAGAGCUUGAGUACUUAAGAGGAUCGCGGAAUUCCCGGUGUAGAGGUGAAAUUCGUAGAUAUCGGGAGGAACACCGGUGGCAAGGCAGGCGAUCUGGGUAGAUACUGACGCUGAGGUGCGAAAGCGUGGGGAGCAAACAGG
rnacentral:rRNA from 1 species